CGUCAAGUCAGCAUGACCUUUGUAUCCAGGGCUACACACACGCUACAAUGGUCUGUACAAUGGGUAGCCAAGCCGCGAGGCGGAGCCAAUCCUGAAAGCAGGCCUCAGUUCAGAUUGCAGUCUGCAACUCGACUGCAUGAAGCCGGAGUUGCUAGUAACCGCAGGUCAGCAAUACUGCGGUGAAUACGUUCCCGGGUCUU
rnacentral:rRNA from 1 species